rnacentral:rRNA from 1 species
GGAUGAACGCUGGCGGCGUGCCUAAUACAUGCAAGUCGAGCGAACAGACGAGGAGCUUGCUCCUCUGACGUUAGCGGCGGACGGGUGAGUAACACGUGGAUAACCUACCUAUAAGACUGGGAUAACUUCGGGAAACCGGAGCUAAUACCGGAUAAUAUAUUGAACCGCAUGGUUCAAUAGUGAAAGACGGUUUUGCUGUCACUUAUAGAUGGAUCCGCGCCGCAUUAGCUAGUUGGUAAGGUAACGGCUUACCAAGGCAACGAUGCGUAGCCGACCUGAGAGGGUGAUCGGCCACACUGGAACUGAGACACGGUCCAGACUCCUACGGGAGGCAGCAGUAGGGAAUCUUCCGCAAUGGGCGAAAGCCUGACGGAGCAACGCCGCGUGAGUGAUGAAGGUCUUCGGAUCGUAAAACUCUGCUAUUAGGGAAGAACAAAUGUGUAAGUAACUAUGCACGUCUUGACGGUACCUAAUCAGAAAGCCACGGCUAACUACGUG